rfam:Agrilus planipennis Contig22035, whole genome shotgun sequence.
AUCUAGCCAAAAAUUUUCCCUUGGGAGUAACAAUACUUUCCGGUUGAAAUCCCAACUCGAGGAGGGGUUUUAGUCAGUAGACGCUACGGCGAAUCCGACACUACCCUCCUUCAGGGGGUGUCUUUUGAAGAUUUCCCCUCCUCGAGGAUA